AGAGAGGAGGAUCCUGCCUUUCAGCCUUUUUCUCUCAGGUUUGUUCAUCCUGGGAGAACAGUUCAUUCUAACAGUGUUCAGCUUUUUUGUUCUCAUGGAUUCCUACAGCCCUUUAUUGUCCAGGGUUGGGAGCAUCUUCUUAUCACUCCCUCAGACACUCACCCUAGGAUAGUUAGGGAGUUUUAUGCUAACCUACACACGUUCACACGUCACACUCCCCCCCACCUGGUCAGUUUUGUUAAUGGUCAGCGAGUUUACCUCACUCCUGACAUCAUUGCUCAACACCUGGGCAUCCGUAACUCUGGGGCUGUCGUCUCCACUACUCAUAAGUGGAUCACUGGUGAGG
rnacentral:lncRNA from 1 species